GAAGAAAGCACAAAAGCAGAGACAACAAAGACCUGAAAGUGCCUGCAAACAAUGAUACCCAACAAGGUUGGUGGUGGUACAUCAUUGUGGCUGUGGGUUUAGCAGCACUCUUACUAACUGUUGUUGUGGUUGUCAUCAGACGGAAGAAAACUACAGGGAACAACAUACAGAUGGAUGAAAACACUGAUGAAGGUGGUGUUUCCUACGCCUCCAUCAGCUACACAAGGAAGACCGACAGUAAAGCCCGGAUUCGGGGCAAAGAUAAUGCUGAUGAAGAUGAUGCAGUGACCUACAGCACUGUAAAAGCUUCCUCCUCUUCUGCUGCAGCCUCCACUGAUCCCAGCAACGCUACCGCCUAACCAAACAAA